GGGACCCAGAGAGACAAAAGAUUCCCGCCUUGUGCCAAAGCUAUAAAAGGGGGUGGAACAGAACAAAGGAGGCUGCCAGUUAUGAGAAAUCCCCUAUUACCACUUGAGCUGGAACUAACAAGGACUGCACCAGGCAAUGGAUUGGGUCCAUACAAGGAAGGAGUCUAGUCUGUGAAAGAAGCUUAUUGGAACAUAUCUGAAGGCAUUCUUGAUGCUCCCAUCUGGAUUCAAUUGUGCCUAAACCUGAGAGUCCCGGGUAUCUUCUCUGUACCUCUCCAAUUUUACAAGACAGGCUGAGAUCAGGCUGUGAGACCCUGCUGCCUCUUUUUUCCUCCCCACAUCUCAGCAACCCUGUGGAUGAAACUUGGCAUUCUGGAAAGGACACUACCUGGGAAUUAGAAGACAUAAUUCUUCUGGUGGCUGUGACAAUGACCUGCUGU